rnacentral:rRNA from 1 species
GUGGGGAAUCUUGCGCAAUGGGCGAAAGCCUGACGCAGCCAUGCCGCGUGAAUGAUGAAGGUCUUAGGAUUGUAAAAUUCUUUCACCGGGGACGAUAAUGACGGUACCCGGAGAAGAAGCUCCGGCUAACUUCGUGCCAGCAGCCGCGGUAAUACGAAGGGGGCUAGCGUUGCUCGGAAUUACUGGGCGUAAAGGGCGCGUAGGCGGACAGCUUAGUCAGAGGUGAAAGCCCAGGGCUCAACCUUGGAAUUGCAUUUGAUACUGGCUGUCUUGAGUUUGGGAGAGGUGAGUGGAACUCCGAGUGUAGAGGUGAAAUUCGUAGAUAUUCGGAAGAACACCAGUGGCGAAGGCGACUCACUGGCCCAAUACUGACGCUGAGGCGCGAAAGCGUGGGGAGCAAACAGGAUUAGAUACCCGUGUAGUCC